GCCUUCGUGGUGUAGUGGUCAGUACGCUCGACGCGUAUUCGAGAUGUCUGUGGUUCGAGUCCCGGCGAGAGCA
rfam:Stegodyphus mimosarum contig78092, whole genome shotgun sequence.